GUGGGGAAUAUUGGGCAAUGGGCGAAAGCCUGACCCAGCAACGCCGCGUGAAGGAAGAAGGUUUUCGGAUCGUAAACUUCUAUCCUUGGUGAAGAUAAUGACGGUAGCCAAGAAGGAAGCCCCGGCUAACUACGUGCCAGCAGCCGCGGUAAUACGUAGGGGGCAAGCGUUGUCCGGAAUGAUUGGGCGUAAAGGGCGCGUAGGCGGCCCGGUAAGUCUGAAGUGAAAGUCCUGCUUUUAAGGUGGGGAUUGCUUUGGAUACUGUCGGGCUUGAGUGCAGGAGAGGUAAGCGGAAUUCCCGGUGUAGCGGUGAAAUGCGUAGAGAUCGGGAGGAACACCAGUGGCGAAGGCGGCUUACUGGACUGUAACUGACGCUGAGGCGCGAAAGUGUGGGGAGCAAACAGGAUUAGAAACCCGAGUAGUCC
rnacentral:rRNA from 1 species